UUAAGUUCAGCGGGUAUCCCUACCUGAUCCGAGGUCAACCUGUAAAAAUUGGGGGUUGCUAGCAAGUAGACCUACCGGACUCAAUCGCGAGGAGUAUUACUACGCGUAGAGCCAAUAGGCACCGCCACUGAUUUUAGGGGCCGCGGAAUCGCGAACUCCAAUACCAAGCGAGAGCUUGAGUGGUUAUAAUGACGCUCGAA
rnacentral:misc_RNA from 1 species